ensembl:lncRNA
UGGGGUAUUUGUUUUUUUCAGACAGUAAAGCAUAUAUAAGGGUACUUAAAGGGUUCAUGGAGAAAUGGAGUUAAGAGAUAGGUUUAUUUUGGUUAAAAAAGAUUUGAAGUCCACACAUAGAUUUUUCAUCAGACAUUCCCAGGACUAUCUUAAAGAUCCUUUCUGUACGUAGAUUGUGGAAUUUUUUUUUUUUUCACUGAAAUCAGCAUCUUGCAGUUCCACUGUUGUGCAUUCUGAUAGUGAGCAGAUGCGCUUGCCUUUGUUGGUGGCUGUGGGUCCUGUCCCUCUGUCCCUCCGGGAGUUACCACGUGGGUCCUGUCCCUCUGUCCCUCUGGGAGUUACCACGCGGGUCCUGUCCCUCCGGGAGUUACCACGUGGGUCCUGUCCCUCUGUCCCUCCGGGAGUUACCACGUGGUCCUGUCCCUCUGUCCCUCUGGGAGUUACCACGUGGGUCCUGUCCCUCUGUCCCUCUGGGAGUUACCACGUGGGUCCUGUCCCUCUGUCCCUCUGGAGUAACCACGUGGGUCCUGUCCCUCUGGGAGUUACCACGUGGGUCCUGUCCCUCUGUCCCUCUGGGAGUUACCACGUGGGUCCUGUCCCUCUGUCCAUCUGGGAGUAACCGCGCCCUCUCAGUCCUCACUGCCGUGCUGUCCCUUUCCAGAUAAGAAAUGGAGGCGCAGAGGGGCCCAGUCCAAGUCGGAACAACCGGUGAUUUCUCCAGGAGGAGAGCCAGAUCGGGGUUUGACUGACUUUUGUGGCAGCUGCCAGUCAUUCCCGGCUUGUGCUUUGAGGCCCUCAAAAGUGUGCAGUAAAGGGAUUGAUGGGCUCCUGGUAUACAAGGCUGCAGGCCCUAGGUAGAUAUGCAGACGAUGCGGAUAGAGAGCAGUUAGGUGAUAUCUGCCAGCAUGCAAAAAUAAGAACAGAAAGUGGGCCAAGGGAGGGUUCCUGCAGCCAGGCAGAGAUGUCUGUUGGAAUAUGCGGGAGGGAAUCAGUGCUGUGGGGCUGAGUGGACGUGAGCCUGGGGGAAGAGGGUGGCAGUGACUUUAUCAGAAGCGAGUUGUCUGACAGCUCCCGUCAGGUCCCCUCUAGCACAGCUGAGGGCUCCCUGUGCUUUCUCGGUGCACGGUUUCAAGGAGAGGCUGAUUCUAGACGAGGGAGACGGACCUGAGGGUCCUGCCUAGCACCUGUGUCCCCGCGUGCCGUGGCGCCUCCAGCUUUCUGCCGCGCAGCCCCAAAGAGGGAGGAAAUUGAAGAUAUGGGCCCGGCGAUCUUGAGGCAUGAAGUGAUAAUGGGUCAAUUUUUAGUUCGUUUUUAUUUAUUCUUAAAGGCUUAUUUAUUUAUUUGAAAGGCAAAGCUACAGCGAGAUCUUCCAUCCACUAGUUCACUCCCCAGAUGGCCAUAGUUCACCAGCUAGGCCAGGCCAAAGCCAGAGCCUGGAAGUUCCUCUGGAUCUCCCCCAUGAGUGGCAGGGCCUAAUACCUGGGCCGUCUUCCACUGUUUUCCCAGGCGCAUUAACAGGGAGCUGGGUUGGAGGCUGAGCAGCACCCACACGGAAUGUCUGUGUUGCAGGCAGCAGCUUAACCUGUGCCGUGUGCCAACCCUAGGGAUCCAUUCUUUUU